rnacentral:lncRNA from 1 species
AUUUUAGUCUCAUAAUUUUCUGCCUUAUCAUUGUAACAAGAACACUAGAAUUAACAGCUUUAAAACGUUAUGCACAUUUAUUGUACUUAAUGCUACACAUCAACAAUGUAGCAAAUAAGCAAAUGGUACUUGUUUCAUAGAACAAGUCCUACUCAGUUUCCCACCUCACUUGGACCCAGGCAAAACCAGCCAUGUUUGUUGCCAGACAUUUCCCAUCUUUACAUAUUUCCAUUGAAAUUUAAAGGGGCACUAAACCCCCUGAUUUUUUUUGACUCCACCCUCAAAUUUGAAAAAGGCUAAAAAAAAAAAUAAAUAAAUAAAUAAAAAAGGGAGGUGUGGGUUGAGAGGGGCACUGGGUGAUGUAUGGGUUUAGAGGCAGUUUAGAGGCAAUCAAUUUUUGAACAUAUCAUGAUGACUGUUUUUGUAAAUAUGUGGUCUAGACAGGUGUCUCAUGCAUGUCCAGCUGUGUGCAUUCAGAGAGGGAAGAGAAAGAGCCUUGAAGAGAAAAGCUAUUCUCAUCUGGCAGCAAGCAGUGGAAAAUAUAAAGAUAGCCCAACAACUUUAUCAACAAGCUCUGCUCUGCAGAUUUUAUUUUAAGUGGCUUGAUGUGUACGAGCGUAAUAGAGAGCUGCACUGUCUCUCUCUGGAUAUACAGGAGCUCAGAACUCGAAGGCUACAGCAGAAUUUCUUUUCCCUCUGGAAACUACAGUUCCUCCAUAUCCGUACCAAAAAGCAGCGUCUCCAUCUGCAGGUAGCUAACUUCCAGUUCCACCAAGCAGUGAGGCAUCGAGACCAGCAUGUUCUGACCCGUAGUCUGAACCUGUGGAGGUGGAAACUGGAUCUGAAGAGGAGAAGAAGAGAGAUAGCUCUGGGUGUUGUGAGGAUUUGGAGAGGGUUUGCCUUGCGGUGCAAAGAGUUGAGAGAGAGGGUUCAAAACGUCCAGAAAUUGCAGCUGUCUCAUGCAUUCAGAUACUGGGCAAGAACAAUGAGACUGAGCAUCAAGGCGAGAGAACAUCACACGCAGAAGCAGAGAAGAAGGGUUCUGCUAGGCUGGCAUAUCCACACAGUUUGGGCUCAGAGGAUGCGCUACAGUGAGGCCUGCUUCCAGUACAGGAUGGAGCUCAGGGUGAUGGGCUUCUGUCUCAGCCUGUGGAGGAGGGCACUGGUCCAGACCCAGAACCAGCAGUGUGUUUUGGAGGACCUCCUCAGCCUCUAUCACAGCAGACUGACAGCACAGGCCUUUCAGAAUUGGAGAGCAGCCACCACACGGCAAAGAGCGGCCAAGAACAUCAACACAGCUUUACUGCGAAAGUGGUUUGUGCGCUGGAAACAACGAAGAGAUGCCCUUAGAACAGCUGAUCAGUUCCUGGCUCAAAAGCAGAAAGAAGAAAUGCGGCUGAUUUUAACAUCUUGGUCAUUAUGGGUGAAAGAGCAUAAGGGCCGCAGACAGAUGGAGGAAGCUGUGCGUCUCUGGUUGGAUGGCAGGAGAGUGUGUGCAGUUUUCCAUCAGUGGGUUAAAGUGUACCGCCAGCACCAGGUGGCCUGUUAUCACAGCCAAAUACACCUUUUACACAGAUCUUUCUGGACAUGGAGGGCUGCUGCCAUAGAGACAAAGCGGAAGUGUCAGACUGUUGAGAUACGACUUCAGCACCAUGAGAUGCGGUCAGCCUUCAGAACCUGGAGGUGGGCUACAGCAUCCCAUAAGGCCGUGCGUUACUUCACACAGCGAGUGAAGGAAGCAGACAGGAGGAGACUUCUGAGUGCUGUACUCCAAGCAUGGCAUGAAAAGACCCAGAUUCAGAAGCAGCGUGAUUUUCAUCUUAGUGACAAAUAUUUUAACCUCUGGGCACUGGAAGUGCAAAGAAGACAGUCUGUGAGACUUUUGUGGAAUAGAAGAAGGACUAAGUGGAUGAGACUUUGGCGGUACAGGCUGGUGGAGCGGAGAGAACAGAGGGAACUAAUUUCUCUCUACUGGGCUUCUUGGAAGAGUCAGACUGCUGCCUCACUGCUGUACAAACAACAACCUCAGCGUAAAUCUCUGCAGAAAGCAUGGCUCACCUGGAGAAAGAGGCACAUCAGGAACAGAGUGGCUGCUGAGUACACGGCCAGCAUUAACAGAGCCCUGCUGCUGAAGGCACUUCGUGCGUGGUGGCGGCGGGCCCUUGUUUCAGGCUCUCUGCCCAGUAGAGCUCCGGUUCGCUCCUACUCCCUCUGACUGACCUGCUGCUGAGCUCCAGGCCAAGAGCAGCAGAACCUUCCAGACUGCAGUUAACUUGACACCCUCAUUAAACUUCCUGGAAACCAUCUAAACUUUAACCUUAAAUUCAGAGCAGCCUCUCUGCACUCUGAAUCAUUCUGCAGAUCCUACCCUUUAAAUAAAACCACCGUCAGCUAUAUUAAACCCUGCA